rnacentral:tRNA from 1 species
UCGCCGGCGUACUCGGCGACGGUCUCCAGGAGCCGGUAGCGCAUCCCGUCGCUCCCGGACGGCGCGGCCACGA